UGCANGUCGAACGCAGGUUUUAAUCUGAGUGGCGGACGGGUGAGUAACACGUGAGAAUUCGCCUUUAGGCGGGGAACAACCAUCGGAAACAAUGGCUAAUACCCCAUAUGCUCGCAAGAGUGAAAGGAGUAAUCCACCCAAAGAGAAGCUCGCGGCUGAUUAGCUAGUUGGUAAGGUAAUGGCUUACCAAGGCGACGAUCAGUAGCUGGUUUGAGAGAACGAUCAGCCACACUGGAACUGAGACACGGUCCAGACUCCUACGGGAGGCAGCAGUGGGGAAUUUUCCGCAAUGGGCGAAAGCCUGACGGAGCAAUACCGCGUGAGGGAUGACGGCCCUUGGGUUGUAAACCUCUUUUAUCAAGGAGGAAGUUCUGACGUGUACUUGAUGAAUAAGCAUCGGCUAACUCCGUGCCAGCAGCCGCGGUAAGACGGAGGAUGCAAGUGUUAUCCGGAAUCACUGGGCGUAAAGCGUCUGUAGGUGGUUCGAAAAGUCCACUGUUAAAAAUUGAAGCUUAACUUCAAAGAUGCCGUGGAAACUUUCAAACUAGAGUGUGGUAGGGGUAGAGGGAAUUUCCAGUGGAGCGGUGAAAUGCGUAGAUAUUGGAAAGACCACCGAUGGCGAAGGCACUCUACUGGGCCAUUACUGACNCUGAGAGACGAAAGCUAGGGGANCAAAUGGGNAUUANAUACCCCAGUAGUCCUAGCUGUAAACGAUGGAUACUANNUGUUGUGUGUAUUGACCCAUGCAGUAUCGUANCUNNCGCGUUAAGUAUCCCGCCUGGGAAGUAUGCUCNCAANANUGAAACUCAAAGGAAUUGACGGGGGCCCGCACAAGCNGUGGANCAUGUGGUUUUAAUUCNAUGCAACGNNANGAACCUUACCCAGGGNNUGACA
rnacentral:rRNA from 1 species